rnacentral:rRNA from 1 species
AUACGGAGGAUCCGAGCGUUAUCCGGAUUUAUUGGGUUUAAAGGGUGCGCAGGCGGCCAUUUAAGUCAGCGGUUAAAUCGUGGGGCUCAACCCCAUUCUGCCGUUGAUACUGGGUGGCUUGAUUGCGGUCGAGGUUGGCGGAAUUCGUUGUGUAGCGGUGAAAUGCAUAGAUAUGACGAAGAACACCGAUUGCGUAGGCAGGUGGACAGAGCGGAAAUGACGCUCAUGGCCGAAAGUGCGGGGAUCGGACAGGAUUAGAAUCCCUGGUAGUCCACGCAGUAAACGAUGAUCCCUAGCUGGUUGCGAUACAGGUUAAGCGGCCCAGCGAAAGCGUUAAGUGAUCCACCUGGGGAGUACGCCGGCAACGGUGAAACUCAAAGGAAUUGACGGGG